UUCGGACGGGGCCCGCACAAGCGGUGGAGCAUGUGGUUAAUUCGAUGCAACGCGAAGACCUUACCAGGGCUUGACAUCCCCUGACCGCGUAUGAAAGUACGUUUUCACCCUCGGGUGACAGGGAGACAGGUGGUGCAUGGUUGUCGUCAGCUCGUGUCGUGAGAUGUUGGGUUAAGUCCCGCAACGAGCGCAACCCCUACGUUUAGUUGCUAACGCGUGAAGGCGAGCACUCUAGACGAACUGCCGUUGACAAAACGGAGGAAGGUGGGAUGACGUCAAAUCAUCAUGCCCCUUAUGUUCUGGGCUACACACGUGCUACAAUGGCCGGUACAGACGGAGGCGAAGCCGCGAGGCGGAGCAAAUCCGAAAAAGCCGGUCUCAGUUCGGAUUGCAGGCUGCAAUUCGCCUGCAUGAAGUCGGAAUCGCUAGUAAUCGCAGGUCAGCAUACUGCGGUGAAUACGUUCCCGGGCCUU
rnacentral:rRNA from 1 species